CCCUUAGAUGUUCUGGGCCGCACGCGCGCUACACUGAUGCAUUCAACGAGUCUAAAACCUGCUCUGAUAGGGGUGGGUAAUCUUUUGAAUGUGCAUCGUGAUUGGGAUAGAUGAUUGCAAUUUUUCAUCUUCAACGAGGAAUGCCUAGUAAACGCAAGUCAUCAGCUUGCAUUGAUUACGUCCCUGCCCUUUGUACACACCGCCCGUCGCUCCUACCGAUCGAAUGAUCCGAUGAAUAUCAUGGAUUGAGGAUGCAAGUAGGUUAGCCUAUCUUCAUCUUCGAGAAGUGAAGUAAAUCUUAUCAUUUAGAGGAAGGAGAAGUCGUAACA
rnacentral:rRNA from 1 species